CUGUACUCAGGCACCCUCUCCCUUACCUGUACUCAGCACCGAGCACCCUCUCCCUCACCUGUACUCAGGCACCUUCUCCCUCACCUGUACUCAGCACCGAGCACCCUCUUCCUCACCUGUACUCAGGCACCCUCUCCCUCACCUGUACUCAGCACCGAGCACCCUCUUCCUCACCUGUACUCAGCACUGAGCACCCUCUCCCUCACCUGUACUCAGCACCGAGCACCCUCUCCCUCACCUGUACUCAGCACUGAGCACCCUCUCCCUCACCUG
rnacentral:lncRNA from 1 species